rnacentral:rRNA from 1 species
CCUACGUGGGCAGCAGUGAGGAAUAUUGGUCAAUGGACGAGAGUCUGAACCAGCCAGGUAGCGUGAAGGAUGACUGCCCUAUGGGUUGUAAACUUCUUUUAUAAAGGAAUAAAACGAGGCACGUGUGCCUUUUUGCAUGUACUUUAUGAAUAGGGAUCGGCUAACUCCGUGCCAGCAGCCGCGGUAAUACGGAGGAUCCGAGCGUUAUCCGGAUUUAUUGGGUUUAAAGGGAGCGUAGAUGGGUUGUUAAGUCAGUUGUGAAAGUUUGCGGCUCAACCGUAAAAUUGCAAUUGAUACUGGCAGUCUUGAGUACAGUUGAGGUAGGCGGAAUUCGUGGUGUAGCGGUGAAAUGCUUAGAUAUCACGAAGAACCCCGAUUGCGAAGGCAGCUUACUAAACUGUGACUGACAUUGAUGCUCGAAAGUGUGGGUAUCAAACAGGAUUAGAUACCCUAGUAGUC